UGAUCCAACUCCUACGAGGCUCAAAAGUAGAAAAGGAGCCACAGAACAGAAAGUGCUGGGCACAGGAGGCCUUCUCCAGGAUGAUGACACCUUCCAGGAAUAAUGCCUGUGUCCUCUACUGUGAUACAGGUGUACCAGCAUCUGGAGCAGGUCAGCCUGGCCCUCCUCCAUGGUUGGCCAGGGCAGACAAUGGGGAGCAGGACCUUGGAGUGCUGGGUACAGGCUAUUCUGGAGGCUGCUUUUGGAGAGAUCUGGUCCUGGCAGGCCCCAUCAGUUCCUGCAAUACAGCCCAGCCCAGCCUCAGGAAACAGUGAGUCUUGUCUUUGUGGCCUAGGAAAGCAAGUUUGAAUAGGCAGCCACGUACAGAGGCAGGCUGGCACCGGCUCUUCUACUUUCUCUUCCCCAACUCCCAUGCCAGGAAGGCUUCUUUUAACCCUGGUGAUGAACACUUCCUCUUUUCUCUUUUCUUCCUCUUCCCACCCACACCCCAGAGUUCACAAUGGUGGAGGGUGAAGGCCAAACUGAAAGGGGCCGGCCGAGCUAACGUAUCCACAAAGCAUUCUCCUCCAGCAGGGGCAGGUGGCUGGCUAGGCUGGAUUUCUGCUCUCUGUUGUAGGGUGACAGUGUAGUGUGUUCAGCUGGGGAAACAGUGGCCAGGAGCAGCUGAGAGCCAGCUCAGCAGUCACACCUUGUACCCACCCACGUUUUCCUGUCCUGCGAGCUUUUUAAUUUUCUCAGUCUUUCCGCUGAUCAGCAAGAUUCUGUGGUUGUUGAUGACUUGAGCUGUGGUGUGCUUGUUGGACACAUCUGAUCCUUUCGUUUGUAUGCAUGGUCCUACUAAGAAGCUUGGGAGAAACUCGCGGACGGACGCUGUCUUUCACCGUGGACCCAAUUAUCUCACUUCAUCUGGAGUCUGGGCUAAUAAAACCAUGGCUAAGUUCAACAAACCUUUCUUCUAGCUCCGCCAAGUAGCUGUGACAAUAACCCUGCACGCCAGGACUUUUCCUCCUUGUUGAAGACAUAGAACAAGUUUUCUUCAAAUGCUUGGAAGCCCAGGAAGGGAGCUGCUUAGGCUUACAUCAAAUAACCCAAGAGUCUUUUGAAAACUCCGAGUCUUGACCCUUCCCCAGGUUGAGCUGAGUAUUCCGAGCUAAGGGACAGGAGGGCCGGAAAUGCUUCAGACAGGAAGGUCCGCGACUGAAGGAGGCUGUAAGAUGAGGGGGUUUGAAGCAUACCCAGAGAUCCUCGUAGGAAUUCCCUGCCAUUGUGUUGAAGGAACUACAGGAAAGGCGGUGGGGGCGGCUGCUGAGUGUAUCUGGAUCUUACUCUGAUUAGAAUCUGCUUCAUCCGUAGGAAAACCACUCUCCAUGGAACACAGAAGCCUCAGCGCCCACGUGGCAGCCAUGAGAGGCGAGCAAGGGAUGAGUUUCCUGCAUCUUCUAAGUUGUCUUUCCAGAGCAGAGGUGCCCAGGCCUCAGUCAUACAGUGCCGGAAACAGGGUGGAAAAUGGAAUGUUUCUCAGCAAUCAUGAAUUUCUUAGUUUAUUUCUAGUUGGCCAGCUUCUCUUCUUCCAUAGGCAUUUGGUAACAGGAAGUAAACUGGUCUAAAUCCCCAUGAAAUGUAAUGUUAGGUUCUAGGAAGAAUGCCCGAGCAGAUUUGCACUUGAGGCUGUAAGAUCAUAUUCUGUCACAGAAUACUAUGAUGUUCAGCUAUAUCAUGUAAGCUUUGGUAUAUUAUACAUUGUUUCCAUUUUCUCAAUUUUCAAAUUUCCAUUGUGACUUAUUCUUUGGUCUGUUGUUUAUUUCAGAGUGUGUUUUAAACUGUGUAAGCAUUUCAGAAUCUUAAUUUCUACCUGUUAUUGGUUACUAACUUCAUUCCAUUGUAACUGGAGACAUUUGUAUGAUUUCAGUUCUUUUAAAUGUCCUGAGACUCAUUUAACCCCUAUAUACAGUUUAUGCCAGAGAGUGCCCCUUUUAUACCCCAGAGGGAAGUGUAUCUGCUGCUGCCUCAGGAAGUGAUCUACAGACACCUGCCAAGCAUUUGCUAAGGAAUCACCCUUUAGAAUCAAAGACACAAAUAGGUUGAACGUACAACCACUUUCAACUUACAACAGGUGAAUAAAACGGACCAAAUAAACAAGACACCACAAAAAACGGGAGCACCAGCCCAUGGAGCACUCUGGACACCCAGUUAGGCAGGCCUGCCCUCCGAGAUCUUCCACAGACCCACAGGAAGCAGAGCUGGAUUCUCCAGUCCGGGCUUGCCAGAAAACAAGGCCAAGGCGAGGCAGCUCCGGCGUCAAGGGUCACGGAGGAAAGCCGUGGUGGUGUGAUUAUUACGGUAAAAAGAUGCCAGGAACUCAGAGGGCGUGUCUUGAAUUCUGAAGCACACAUCCCUGUUACAUCAUGCUUGGGCCACAUGGGACUUUCUUUAGUCUCACAGGAAUGGAGUCAAGGAAGGCAACAUGUUUCUGUGUAAAGAGGCUGAAAUACGGGCUGGACGCAUCCAGAAACAGCUGGUCAGGGGGACUGGCUUGUGUAAUGUACCACAUCCCUGGCCGUGGUGCGAUGGGUGGAGCGCCAAUGUAAGGAGUCCACAUGCUCUUUCUGCAGAUCAAUACCUGGUACCACAGCAUCCUUAUGAUUUCCCUAAAGCCCUCCUCUCGCUGAGAAAAGGUCAAAGGACAAGAAGGGAACAACAGAGUUCAGAGGGAGGGAAGGAGGAAGGGAGGGAGAGAGAGAGACUAUAAGAUGGAGGAGAGCUGCAACUUUAUUCCCAUGUAGUCAGCAGAAUCAGAAACCCAUCUGUUCAGACUUUUAUAUUUUUAAUGAGAUUGCGUCCAAAUCUCAUACUAUAUACAAACACAGGGUGACUCAUUCAUGAAGUAUUCUGGGGAACUCACAGUACCUUUAGCCCAUAGAACUAGACCCCCAUGCUAAAAUAAUUCAAGAAAAGGGAGAUCUGCAUGAGAAGGCCAUAGAAAGAACUCAGAAGAGCUCCACAGCACCUGACUGGAUAUGUGUGGAAUUUAACACACCAGGAAACCACCAGAUUGCCAUCUGGCAGCUUACUCCGAGCACCAUAACUCUUGGCAGAGUUUGGAUAAUCAGUGAUGAGACCUAAUGUUAAUUCAUUAAGCUCUCUUCCUGCGUGUCCAGGACUAGGGCAUGUAAUCCUCAUAUCAACCUUAACAGGUAAGUAUUAGUAUACUUGUUUUACUAAUGAGGAAAUUGGCAUUGGCUAAACAAGUCUACUGAUAACAGAGGGGAAGGACUGGCUGGCUCUCCAUGCCUAGGACAUUUGCUUAUAGAGCCCAUCAGCCACUUAUAAGCUCUGACUUUAGGAGUGGUAGGAGGUAUCUUAUUCAAACACGCCUCCUCCACCAAUGACUCUGACGUUAGCACUUUGCAUUAGAAUACUACAUUUGGAUUUCAGCUGUACAAAGAGGCAUCCCACCUAGUUAAUUCACAUGGACCACUAGCCAUGGAGUAAGAGUAAGAUUUACAGAAGUAAGAGAAUGGGAAAAGCCUGGAGGAAA